rnacentral:rRNA from 1 species
GCUCAGGAAAAACGCAAGAGACGUGCCUAACACAUGCAAAUUAAAUAGUUAUAACUAACUAUAGUGAAUUGGUGAGUAAUAUAUGAAAAUUUAAUUUUAGAUUAGAAGUAUACCUAGUAACCUAGGGUUAAUCUCUGAUUAGCGCAUAUGUGCUUUCAAAAGUUAAUACUGUCUAAAAAAAAGUUCAUACCUGAUUAGCUAAUUAGUAAGGUAAAAACUUAUUAAGGCGAAGAUCAGUAGCUGCCCUGAGAGGGGUAUCAGCCACAUUGGGAUUGAAAUACAGCCCAAACUCCUACGGGAGGCUGCAGUGGGGAAUCUUCUGCAAUGAGCGCAAGCUUGACAGAGCAUCGUCACGUGGAGGAAGACAGCUUAUUAUAGUUGUAAACUUCUUUUACUUAAAAGUGAAAACUGACACUUAAGUAAAUAAAGUAUCGGCAAACUCCGUGCCAGCAGCCGCGGUAAAACGGGGGAUACAAGCGUUAUCCGGAAUUACUGGGCGUAAAGCGUAUGUA